rnacentral:rRNA from 1 species
CACGUAGGGUGCGAGCGUUGUCCGGAAUUAUUGGGCGUAAAGAGCUCGUAGGCGGUGUGUCGCGUCGGCCGUGAAAACCUGCAGCUUAACUGUGGGCGUGCGGUCGAUACGGGCAUCACUGGAGUUCGGCAGGGGAGACUGGAAUUCCUGGUGUAGCGGUGAAAUGCGCAGAUAUCAGGAGGAACACCGGUGGCGCAGGCGGGUCUGUGGGCCGAUACUGACGCUGAGGAGCGAAAGCGUGGGGAGCGAACAGG